UCCUGGCUCAGGAUGAACGCUGGCGGCGUGCCUAACACAUGCAAGUCGAACGAAGCAAGAGAGCUGCUCUCUGACUUAGUGGCGGACGGGUGAGUAACGCGUGAGCAACCUGCCCUUCAGAGGGGGACAACAGUCGGAAACGGCUGCUAAUACCGCAUAAGACCACACUAUCGCAUGGUAGAGAGGUCAAAGGAGCAAUCCGCUGAAGGAUGGACUCGCGUCCGAUUAGAUAGUUGGCGGGGUAACGGCCCACCAAGUCGACGAUCGGUAGCCGGACUGAGAGGUUGAACGGCCACAUUGGGACUGAGACACGGCCCAGACUCCUACGGGAGGCAGCAGUGAGGGAUAUUGCACAAUGGGCGCAAGCCUGAUGCAAGCAACGCCGCGUGAAGGAUGAAGGUUUUCGGAUUGUAAACUUCUUUUCUCAUUGACGAAUUCAUGACGGUAAAUGAGGAAUAAGCCACGGCUAACUACGUGCCAGCAGCUGC
rnacentral:rRNA from 1 species